UACGAAGGGGGCUAGCGUUGCUCGGAAUCACUGGGCGUAAAGGGUGCGUAGGCGGAUUUGUAAGUCAGGGGUGAAAUCCCGGGGCUCAACCUCGGAACUGCCUUUGAUACUGCGAAUCUUGAGUCCGAUAGAGGUGGGUGGAAUUCCUAGUGUAGAGGUGAAAUUCGUAGAUAUUAGGAAGAACACCGGUGGCGAAGGCGGCCCACUGGAUCGGUACUGACGCUGAGGUGCGAAAGCGUGGGGAGCAAACAGG
rnacentral:rRNA from 1 species